rnacentral:snRNA from 1 species
GUGCUUGCUUCGGCAGCACAUAUACUAAAAUUGGAACGAUACAGAGAAGAUUAGCAUGGAAUCUGAGCAAGGAUGACAUGCAAAUUAGUGAAGCGUUCCGUAUUUAA